UACGUAGGGGGCAAGCGUUGUCCGGAUUUAUUGGGCGUAAAGAGCGUGUAGGCGGCCAUGUAGGUCCGUUGUGAAAACUCGAGGCUCAACCUCGAGACGCCGAUGGAAACCAUGUGGCUAGAGUCCGGAAGAGGAGAGUGGAAUUCCUGGUGUAGCGGUGAAAUGCGCAGAUAUCAGGAAGAACACCCGUGGCGAAGGCGGCUCUCUGGAACGCAACUGACGCUGAGACGCGAAAGCGUGGGGAGCAAACAGG
rnacentral:rRNA from 1 species